GAUGAAGAACGUAGUGAAAUGCGAUAAGUAGUGUGAAUUGCAGAAUUCAGUGAAUCUUCGAAUCUUUGAACGCACAUUGCGCCCCAUGGUAUUCCGUGGGGCAUGCCUGUUCGAGCGUCAUUUACCCCCUCAAGCUCCGCUUGGUGUUGGGCGUCUGUCCCGCUUCGCGCGCGGACUCGCCCCAAAGGUAUUGGCAGCGGUCGUGCCAGCUUCUCGCGCAGCACAUUGCGCUUCUCGAGGCACCGGUGGGCCCGCGUCCAUCAAGCUCACCCCCCCAGUUUGACCUCGGAUCAGGUAGGGAUACCCGCUGAACUUAAGCAUAUCAAUAAGCGGAGGA
rnacentral:misc_RNA from 1 species